GUGCAUGUGUUAAAGUGUGUGUAUGUGUUUGUGUGUGUGAAGCUCUGCGAAGUCAUCAAGAUCCAGAGAAAAAAGAUAAAAGAAACGGUAAAGACAUCCAGCCGUGUAUCACUGGGUGGUUACUUAACUGUUGUCCAUUUAAAACAAAAAAAAAAAA